rnacentral:rRNA from 1 species
CAGCGCGGGAGCAAUCCUGGCGGCGAGCGGCGGACGGGUGAGCAAUAUUUGGGAAUCUGCCUAUUAGUGGGGGACAACCCGGGGAAACUCGGGCUAAUACCGCAUACGCACUAUGGUGGAAAGCCGGGGACCGCAAGGCCUGGCGCUAAUAGAUGAGCCCAAAUCGGAUUAGCUAGUUGGUGAGGUAAUGGCUCACCAAGGCUACGAUCCGUAGCUGGUCUGAGAGGACGACCAGCCACACCGGAACUGAGACACGGUCCGGACUCCUACGGGAGGCAGCAGUGGGGAAUAUUGGACAAUGGGCGAAAGCCUGAUCCAGCGACGCCGCGUGGGUGAAGAAGGCCUGCGGGUUGUAAAGCCCUUUCGGUGGGGAAGAAAAGCCUCGACCUAACACGUCGGGGUCUUGACGUAACCCAUAGAAGAAGCACCGGCUAACUCUGUGCCAGCAGCCGCGGUAAUACAGAGGGUGCGAGCGUUAAUCGGAAUUACUGGGCGUAAAGCGCGCGUAGGCGGCUUUGCAAGUCGAGUGUGAAAUCCCCAGGCUUAACCUGGGAACUGCAUUCGAGACUGCAUAGCUAGAGUAUGGGAGAGGGAAGUGGAAUUUCAGGUGUAGCGGUGAAAUGCGUAGAUAUCUGAAGGAACAUCAGUGGCGAAAGCGACUUCCUGGACCAAUACUGACGCUCAUGUGCGAAAGCGUGGGGAGCAAACA